GACGAACGCUGGCGGCGUGCCUAAUACAUGCAAGUAGAACGCACAGUUUAUACCGUAGCUUGCUACACCAUAGACUGUGAGUUGCGAACGGGUGAGUAACGCGUAGGUAACCUGCCUGGUAGCGGGGGAUAACUAUUGGAAACGAUAGCUAAUACCGCAUAAUAUUAAUUAUUGCAUGAUAAUUAAUUGAAAGGUGCAAUUGCACCACUGCCAGAUGGACCUGCGUUGUAUUAGCUAGUAGGUGAGGUAACGGCUCACCUAGGCGACGAUACAUAGCCGACCUGAGAGGGUGAUCGGCCACACUGGGACUGAGACACGGCCCAGACUCCUACGGGAGGCAGCAGUAGGGAAUCUUCGGCAAUGGACGAAAGUCUGACCGAGCAACGCCGCGUGAGUGAAGAAGGUUUUCGGAUCGUAAAGCUCUGUUGUAAGAGAAGAACGGGUGUGAGAGUGGAAAGUUCACACUGUGACGGUAUCUUACCAGAAAGGGACGGCUAACUACGUG
rnacentral:rRNA from 1 species